CCUACGGGUGGCUGCAGUGGGGGAUAUUGCACAAUGGGGGGAACCCUGAUGCAGCGACGCCGCGUGUGGGAAGACGGUCCUCUGGCUUGUAAACCACUGUCCUCAGGGACGAAAAUGACGGUACCUGGGGAGGAAGCUCCGGCUAACUACGUGCCAGCAGCCGCGGUAAUACGUAGGGAGCGAGCGUUGUCCGGAAUUACUGGGUGUAAAGGGAGCGUAGGCGGGGAUGCAUGUUGGGUGGCAAAACUACCGGCUCAACUGGUAGUCGCACUCAAAACUGCAGCUCUUGAGUGAAGUCGAGGCAGGAGGAAGUCCUAGUGUAGCGGUGAAAUGCGUAGAUAUUAGGAGGAACACCAGUGGCGAAGGCGGCCUGCUGGGCUUUUACCGACGCUGAGGCUCGAAAGUGUGGGGAGCAAACAGGAUUAGAUACCCUGGUAGUC
rnacentral:rRNA from 1 species